rnacentral:lncRNA from 1 species
ACGGAUUCUGCAUGGCUCCACCACUCUCUGGCAAGUUAUGACAACGGACACCACUCCAGUCUCCAUAACAAACUCCAUGUGGCCCUGAAUGACCCCCUGACGCCACUACUCUCCGUAACAAACUCCGCAUGACCCCGAACGGCCCACUACCAGAUGGUUACAGAUGUCGCUGUCAAUCAGUUACGCUCUCCGUCUAUGAAAAGGGACCCCCAGAUAUGUUCUUCUCUAAGCUCUAAACUCUAUCUUAAAACUCUGCUAAAAUCUCAUUUGAGUGCUCC